CGCCUUGCACAGUCCUAGAUAUCUAGUAAUUAUCGUGGUUUCUAUGCAGAUCUACAAUGUUUGCGGGUGUCGUCUGAUUUUUCUGAAUCUGAGGGAUCGUCGCUCAUACUUCCGGAAAAGAGUAUAGCAAUACUCGAGUGCCAGACAGCAAGCUGUAACGCAAGUUUUAGUCAUGCAGUUGAAUGGCAUGACCGUCAAGGAAAAAUCAACAACGCUAGAAUUAAUACUCACAUCCGAAGCAACGGUCAACUGGAGAUCACUAGCCUGACUAGUAGAAAUGAAGGAGCGUACAGCUGCCAUAGACGUGCUGAUGAUGGAAGAUACAGAAUGUCAAACGAUUUUAUUGUUACUGCUCUAGAAGACAAGGGCACAAAAGAAAGUAAGUUACGCCUAAAUGACAAAUAGCUUUAUGUGCAUCAGACAGACAAAUGGACAGACAGACAGACAGAGACAGACAAAUAGACAGACAGACAGACAAAUGGACAGACAAAUUGACAGACAUAUGGACAGACAAAUAGACAGACAGAUGGACAGAGGCAUGGCUUUAAUCAACGUGAGAUUGAUGAUUAUCCAUGUGUAUUGCUGUUACUAAAAAGGUACAGAUGGAUCCCUAUCUGAUCAGUCACAACGUGCAACUUCUAGCACAUUAGAUUUAUAUUCUACAGUGUGGACAUCGGGAUCUUCUCAAACAAAACCAAAGGAUGAUAUGCUAGACUGGAUGCUACCUGUUGUUGUAGCUGUUUUUGUGCUGCUAGUGGCAGUGUGUGUAAUAAUAAUUAUUUUAGUCAAAAUGUUUUGUGGGAAGUCUCAACAGCCUACACCAGCCAGCACUCGUAGUGGUGGCAGUCAGACUCUUGAUCGGUCCAGGAGGCAGGGCAACCAAGAUGGGCCUAUAGUGGAGGUGAUGGAUCAAAUAGAAGACCUUACAGACCAUAUCGAUAAUGGUUUUAAUAAUAUCAAAAAUAUUAUCAUAGAAAGUAGGCCAAAUGGACAAGACAGUGGCCAAUAUAGCUAGAUUCAGUAUCAUCUAGCUAGACUGUAGUCAAGUACUGCUGUACGUUGUGUUGUGUAAAGUUUGCGAUAAUUGUAAGCAGGGUCAAAAGCA